UCUCCGUUGGUGAACCAGCGGAGGGAUCAUUACCGAGUUUACAACUCCCAAACCCCUGUGAACAUACCUAUCGUUGCCUCGGCGGUGCCCGCUCCGGCGGCCCGCCAGAGGACCCCCAAACUCUUGUUUUAAACAGUAUCUUCUGAGUAACACGAUUAAAUAAAUCAAAACUUUCAACAACGGAUCUCUUGGUUCUG
rnacentral:misc_RNA from 1 species